rnacentral:rRNA from 1 species
UACGUAGGUGGCAAGCGUUGUCCGGAAUUAUUGGGCGUAAAGAGCGCGCAGGCGGCUUGGUAAGUCGGAUGUGAAAUCCCGAGGCUCAACCUCGGGUCUGCAUCCGAUACUGCCCGGCUAGAGGUAGGUAGGGGAGAUCGGAAUUCCUGGUGUAGCGGUGAAAUGCGCAGAUAUCAGGAGGAACACCGGUGGCGAAGGCGGAUCUCUGGGCCUUACCUGACGCUCAGGCGCGAAAGCUAGGGGAGCGAACUGG